GGAAUUCGCUGGGGGACAUCUCCCUCCCUCCGGUUUCCCAGCGAUCGGCGCCGCGCUGACCUCCUCCCCGGCAACGCGCCACCCUUAAGACGCCCGUCGACCUCCUCCCCGACGGGCGUUUUUC
rnacentral:sRNA from 1 species